UACAGAGGGUGCGAGCGUUGUCCGGAUUUAUUGGGCGUAAAGAGCUCGUAGGCGGUUUGUCGCGUCGGCCGUGAAAUCUCCACGCUUAACGUGGAGCGUGCGGUCGAUACGGGCAGACUUGAGUUCGGUAGGGGAGACUGGAAUUCCUGGUGUAGCGGUGAAAUGCGCAGAUAUCAGGAGGAACACCGGUGGCGAAGGCGGGUCUCUGGGCCGACACUGACGCUGAGGUGCGAAAGCGUGGGGAGCGAACAGG
rnacentral:rRNA from 1 species